rnacentral:rRNA from 1 species
AGGCAUAGACAGCUAGGAGGUUGGCUUAGAAGCAGCCACCCUUUAAAGAAAGCGUAAUAGCUCACUAGUCGAGUCGGCCUGCGCGGAAGAUGUAACGGGGCUAAAACUAUGUGCCGAAGCUGCGGAUGUAUACUUUGUAUACGUGGUAGGGGAGCGUUCUGUAAGCCGAUGAAGGUGUGUUGAGAAGCAUGCUGGAGGUAUCAGAAGUGCGAAUGCUGACGUGAGUAACGACAAAACGGGUGAAAAACCCGUUCGCCGAAAGACCAAGG